rnacentral:rRNA from 1 species
AGCGUACACGGUGGAUGCCUAGGCAGUCAGAGGCGAUGAAGGGCGUGCUAAUCUGCGAAAAGCGUCGGCAAGGUGAUAUGAACCGUUAUACCCGACGAUACCCGAAUGGGGAAACCCAGUGUGACUCGUCACACUAUCAUUAACUGAAUCCAUAGGUUAAUGAGGCGAACCGGGGGAACUGAAACAUCUCAGUACCCCGAGGAAAAGAAAUCAACCGAGAUUCCCCCAGUAGCGGCGAGCGAACGGGGAGGAGCCCAGAACCUGAAUCGGCUUGUGUGUCAGUGGAAGCGUCUGGAAAGGCGCACGAUACAGGGUGACAGUCCCGUACACGAAGAUGCACAGGUCGUGAGUUCGACGAGUAGGGCGGGACACGUGGUAUCCUGUCUGAACAUGGGGGGACCAUCCUCCAAGGCUAAAUACUCCUGACUGACCGAUAGUGAACCAGUACCGUGAGGGAAAGGCGAAAAGAACCCCGGCGAGGGGAGUGAAAUAGAACCUGAAACCGUGUACGUACAAGCAGUGGGAGCACCUUUAGGUGUGACUGCGUACCUUUUGUAUAAUGGGUCAGCGACUUAUAUUCUGUAGCAAGGUUAACCGAAUAGGGGAGCCGCAGGGAAACCGAGUCUUAACUGGGCGUCUAGUUGCAGGGUAUAGACCCGAAACCCGGUGAUCUAGCCAUGGGCAGGUUGAAGGUUGGGUAACACUAACUGGAGGACCGAACCGACUAAUGUUGAAAAAUUAGCGGAUGACUUGUGGCUGGGGGUGAAAGGCCAAUCAAACCGGGAGAUAGCUGGUUCUCCCCGAAAGCUAUUUAGGUAGCGCCUCGUGAAUUCAUCUUCGGGGGUAGAGCACUGUUUCGGCUAGGGGGCCAUCCCGGCUUACCAACCCGAUGCAAACUGCGAAUACCGAAGAAUGUUAUCACGGGAGACACACGGCGGGUGCUAACGUCCGUCGUGAAGAGGGAAACAACCCAGACCGCCAGCUAAGGUCCCAAAGUCAUGGUUAAGUGGGAAACGAUGUGGGAAGGCCCAGACAGCCAGGAUGUUGGCUUAGAAGCAGCCAUCAUUUAAAGAAAGCGUAAUAGCUCACUGGUCGAGUCGGCCUGCGCGGAAGAUGUAACGGGGCUAAAACCAUGCACCGAAGCUGCGGCAGCGACACUUAGGUGUUGUUGGGUAGGGGAGCGUUCUGUAAGCCUGUGAAGGUGGCCUGUGAGGGCUGCUGGAGGUAUCAGAAGUGCGAAUGCUGACAUAAGUAACGAUAAUGCGGGUGAAAAACCCGCACGCCGGAAGACCAAGGGUUCCUGUCCAACGUUAAUCGGGGCAGGGUGAGUCGACCCCUAAGGCGAGGCUGAAAAGCGUAGUCGAUGGGAAACAGGUUAAUAUUCCUGUACUUGGUGUUACUGCGAAGGGGGGACGGAGAAGGCUAUGUCAUCCGGGCGACGGUUGUCCCGGUUUAAGCGUGCAGGUGGGUGGACCAGGUAAAUCCGGUCUGCUGUUAACACUGAGGCGUGAUGACGAGGCACUACGGUGCUGAAGUGACAGAUGCCCGGCUUCCAGGAAAAGCCUCUAAGCAUCAGGUAACAUUGAAUCGUACCCCAAACCGACACAGGUGGUCAGGUAGAGAAUACUCAGGCGCUUGAGAGAACUCGGGUGAAGGAACUAGGCAAAAUGGUGCCGUAACUUCGGGAGAAGGCACGCUCCUGUUGGUGAAGUCCCUUGCGGAUGGAGCUGAGGGGAGUCGCAGAUACCAGCUGGCUGCAACUGUUUAAUAAAAACACAGCACUGUGCAAACACGAAAGUGGACGUAUACGGUGUGACGCCUGCCCGGUGCCGGAAGGUUAAUUGAUGGGGUUAUCCGUAAGGAGAAGCUCUUGAUCGAAGCCCCGGUAAACGGCGGCCGUAACUAUAACGGUCCUAAGGUAGCGAAAUUCCUUGUCGGGUAAGUUCCGACCUGCACGAAUGGCGUAAUGAUGGCCAGGCUGUCUCCACCCGAGACUCAGUGAAAUUGAACUCGCUGUGAAGAUGCAGUGUACCCGCGGCAAGACGGAAAGACCCCGUGAACCUUUACUAUAGCUUGACACUGAACCUUGAGCCUUGAUGUGUAGGAUAGGUGGGAGGCUUUGAAGUGUGGACGCCAGUCUGCAUGGAGCCAACCUUGAAAUACCACCCUUUAAUGUUUGAUGUUCUAACCUGGGCCCGUAAUCCGGGCUGGGGACAGUGUCUGGUGGGUAGUUUGACUGGGGCGGUCUCCUCCCAAAGAGUAACGGAGGAGCACGAAGGUUAGCUAAUCCUGGUCGGACAUCAGGAGGUUAGUGCAAAGGCAUAAGCUAGCUUGACUGCGAGAGUGACGGCUCGAGCAGGUGCGAAAGCAGGUCUUAGUGAUCCGGUGGUUCUGAAUGGAAGGGCCAUCGCUCAACGGAUAAAAGGUACUCCGGGGAUAACAGGCUGAUACCGCCCAAGAGUUCAUAUCGACGGCGGUGUUUGGCACCUCGAUGUCGGCUCAUCACAUCCUGGGGCUGAAGUAGGUCCCAAGGGUAUGGCUGUUCGCCAUUUAAAGUGGUACGCGAGCUGGGUUUAGAACGUCGUGAGACAGUUCGGUCCCUAUCUGCCGUGGGCGUUGGAAGAUUGAGGGGGGUUGCUCCUAGUACGAGAGGACCGGAGUGAACGCACCGCUGGUGUUCGGGUUGUCAUGCCAAUGGCACUGCCCGGUAGCUACGUGCGGAAGAGAUAACCGCUGAAAGCAUCUAAGCGGGAAACUUGCCCCGAGAUGAGUCUUCCCUGGGAACUAGAUUCCCCUGAAGGGACGUUCGAGACGAGGACGUUGA